CACUCUUGUGCACGUGGCUGUCCAGUUUUCCUGACACCAUUUGUUGAAGAGGCACACAGCAUAGUUUCUUAAGUCCAGUAGUCCUCGUGCUCAGAAGGUGGCUGCCAGAGUAAUUGGACAACACACUGCGUUCCCAUCCAGGAAGAGAGAAACCUGAUUCUCUUCUCCGAAGCUCUGAGUUUAAGAAGAUGCUUUCCUAGAACUUGCCAUUGUCGCAAGAUGGGCCUCAGGGCCUCCCACUUGGGUCCACAGUUCUGGAGAUACGGAGGAGUCACAGUGACGAGCAAGGACAUCUCAGAAUGUCCUGCCAUUGGACCCCAGCUCUGCAAUCCUCUAAAAUAGGAGACUCUACAGACCUGAGCUGAGCAUCGGUGGGAAGGAGCACUUGUCAUUUGCCCAAUCCUCAUGCCCACAUUGAGUCUGAAUGGCGAUACGUCCUAGAAUAAAUCAGAGGUGCCCCCCCAACUCCCUACAGCCUCAAGUUCUCUGUGUCCAGAUUUCCUCGGGGGCGGGGGAAGCAAGGAAUU